rnacentral:rRNA from 1 species
GACGAACGCUGGCGGCGUGCCUAAUACAUGCAAGUUGAGCGCUGAAGGUUGGUACUUGUACCAACUGGAUGAGCAGCGAACGGGUGAGUAACGCGUGGGGAAUCUGCCUUUGAGCGGGGGACAACAUUUGGAAACGAAUGCUAAUACCGCAUAAAAACUUUAAACACAAGUUUUAAGUUUGAAAGAUGCAAUUGCAUCACUCAAAGAUGAUCCCGCGUUGUAUUAGCUAGUUGGUGAGGUAAAGGCUCACCAAGGCGAUGAUACAUAGCCGACCUGAGAGGGUGAUCGGCCACAUUGGGACUGAGACACGGCCCAAACGCCUACGGGAGGCAGCAGUAGGGAAUCCUCGGCAAUGGACGAAAGUCUGACCGAGCAACGCCGCGUGAGUGAAGAAGGUUUUCGGAUCGUAAAACUCUGUUGGUAGAGAAGAACGUUGGUGAGAGUGGAAAGCUCAUCAAGUGACGGUAACUACCCAGAAAGGGACGGCUAACUACGUG